AUUGAACGCUGGCGGCAUGCUUUACACAUGCAAGUCGAACGGUAACAGGUUAAGCUGACGAGUGGCGAACGGGUGAGUAAUGCAUCGGAACGUGCCCGAUCGCGGGGGAUAACGCAGCGAAAGCUGCGCUAAUACCGCAUACGAUCUGAGGAUGAAAGCGGGGGACCGUAAGGCCUCGCGCGAUCGGAGCGGCCGAUGUCAGAUUAGGUAGUUGGUGGGGUAAAGGCCAACCAAGCGGACGAUCUGGAGCUGGUCUGAGAGGACGACCAGCCACACUGGGACUGAGACACGGCCCAGACUCCUACGGGAGGCAGCAGUGGGGAAUUUUGGACAAUGGGCGAAAGCCUGAUCCAGCAAUGCCGCGUGCAGGAAGAAGGCCUUCGGGUUGUAAACUGCUUUUGUACGGAGCGAAAAGGUCCUUUCUAAUACAGGGGGCUCAUGACGGUACCGUAAGAAUAAGCACCGGCUAACUACGUGCCAGCAGCCGCAGUAAAAC
rnacentral:rRNA from 1 species